rnacentral:misc_RNA from 1 species
GUCCUCAGCUGGAAUGUCUCUUGCAUUAAGGGAAGAUCUCAAGCGACUUGACUGAAGAUUGCUUCCAGGGAGAUGCAAGGCUGGGACAUUUGGUUGGGGCCAAGAAACAGAAGAAUGUGACAUACCAUUGGUAGAUGGAGACAUGGGUGGAGUGAAUGGUGAUGGAGACAUAACAGAUACUGAAGAAGGAGAACCUGGCAAGAGGCUCAUGGCAGCAGCAAAAUCCAUUGCAGUGGCACCAGAAGUGCUUGAGCGAGGAGAGGGAACAGCAGAACCAGUGG